CCAACUAAGUUUGUUCUGGGUAUAAGCUUUUGUGUGCAUGCACACUUCUUCAGAUGCACAUGAAAGCUUAUACCCAGGACAAACUUAGUUGG